GACGAACGCUGGCGGCGUGCUUAACACAUGCAAGUCGAACGGAAAGGCCCUGCUUUUGUGGGGUGCUCGAGUGGCGAACGGGUGAGUAACACGUGAGUAACCUGCCCUUGACUUUGGGAUAACUUCAGGAAACUGGGGCUAAUAUCGGAUAGGAGCUCCUGUUGCAUGGUGGGGGUUGGAAAGUUUCGGCGGGUGGGGAUGGACUCGCGGCUUAUCAGCUUGUUGGUGGGGUAGUGGCUUACCAAGGCUUUGACGGGUAGCCGGCCUGAGAGGGUGACCGGCCACAUUGGGACUGAGAUACGGACCAGACUCCUACGGGAGGCAGCAGUGGGGAAUAUUGCACAAUGGGCGGAAGCCUGAUGCAGCAACGCCGCGUGCGGGAUGACGGCCUUCGGGUUGUAAACCGCUUUCGCCUGUGACGAAGCGUGAGUGACGGUAAUGGGUAAAGAAGCACCGGCUAACUACGUG
rnacentral:rRNA from 1 species